UACGAUGGGGGCUAGCGUUGCUCGGAAUCACUGGGCGUAAAGCGCACGUAGGCGGAUUGUUAAGUCAGGGGUGAAAUCCUGGAGCUCAACUCCAGAACUGCCUUUGAUACUGGCGAUCUUGAGUCCGGGAGAGGUGAGUGGAACUGCGAGUGUAGAGGUGAAAUUCGUAGAUAUUCGCAAGAACACCAGUGGCGAAGGCGGCUCACUGGCCCGGUACUGACGCUGAGGUGCGAAAGCGUGGGGAGCAAACAGG
rnacentral:rRNA from 1 species